rnacentral:rRNA from 1 species
CGAUAUCUACGAAUUUCACCUCUACACCGGGAAUUCCGCGACCCUCUUCCAUACUCAAGCCUCGCAGUUUCGGAUGCACGUCCAUGGUUGAGCCACGGGAUUUCACAUCCGACUUGCGAAGCCGCCUACGUGCGCUUUACGCCCAAUGAUUCCGAGCAACGUUUGCACCCUUCGUAUUACCGCGGCUGCUGGCACGAAGUUAGCCGGUGCUUGCUAAGGAGGUACCGUCAUGCCGCUGGAUAUUAGCCAGCGGCGGUUCGUCUCUCCCCACAGAGCUUUACGACCCGAAGGCCUUCAUCACUCACGCGGCGUGGCUGGAUCAGGCUUGCGCCCAUUGUCCAAUAUUCCCCACUGCUGCCUCCCGUAGGAGUCUGGGCCGUGUCUCAGUCCCAGUGUGGCUGAUCAUCCUCUCAGACCAGCUACGCGUCUUAGCCUUGGUGGGCCAUUACCCCACCAACUAGCUGAUGCGACGUAGGCCCCUCUUCCAGCGCCAGGUUGCCCCGGCUUUCCUGUCCAGGACCAGAGUCCCAGACAACGUAUGCGGUAUUAGCGGUCCUUUCGGACCGUUGUCCCCCACUGAAAGGCAGGUUACCUACGUAUUUCUCACCCGUCCGCCGCUUUACUCAGGACCGAAGUCCCUUUCUCGCUCGACUUGCAUGUGUUAGGCCCGCCGCUAACGUUCGCUCUGAGCCAGGAUCAAACUCU